GCACACAACUAUGGGACUGAGGAACACGGCCUCUAGAUCUCCUGCCGGAGUCAGCCAGUUGCGACUACUUGCACACAUCGCGGCAAUGCCUGAAUGCAAGCGACGCCCGCCUGGGGGGGAUGACCGCCCUUCCGGAUGUUAAACUUCUUUUUAUCCACCAACGCCAGGCUACCACGUUUCUCGUGGGUUGACGGUAGGUGGGGAAUAAGGACCGGCUAACUACGUGCCAGCAGCCGCGGUAAUACGUAAGGGUCCGAGCGUUGUCUCGAAAUUAUUUGGGGCGUAAAGAGCUCCUAGGCGGCAUGUCGCGUCUGCUGUGAAAAGACCGGGCGCUUAACUCCGGUUCUGCAGUGGAUACGGGCAUGCUUAGAGGUAGGUAGGGGAGACUGGAAUUCCCUGGUGUAGCGGUGAAAUGCGCAGAUAUCAGGAGGAACACCCGGUGGCGAAGGCGGGUCUCUGGGCCUUACCUGACGCUGAGGAGCGAAAGCAUGGGGAGCGAACAGGAUUAGAUACCCUGGUAGUCCAUGCCGUAAACGUUGGGCGCUAGGUGUGGGGACUUUCCACGGUUUCCGCGCCGUAGCUAACGCAUUAAGCGCCCCGCCUGGGGAGUACGGCCGCAAGGCUAAAACUCAAAGGAAUUGACGGGGGCCCGCACAAGCGGCGGAGCAUGUUGCUUAAUUCGACGCAACGCGAAGAACCUUACCAAGGUUUGACAUCACCCGUGGACCUGUAGAGAUACAGGGUCAUUUAGUUGGUGGGUGACAGGUGGUGCAUGGCUGUCGUCAGCUCGUGUCGUGAGAUGUUGGGUUAAGUCCCGCAACGAGCGCAACCCUUGUUCCAUGUUGCCAGCACGUAAUGGUGGGGACUCAUGGGAGACUGCCGGGGUCAACUCGGAGGAAGGUGGGGACGACGUCAAGUCAUCAUGCCCCUUAUGUCUUGGGCUGCAAACAUGCUACAAUGGCCGGUACAAUGGGCGUGCGAUACCGUAAGGUGGAGCGAAUCCCUUAAAGCCGGUCUCAGUUCGGAUUGGGGUCUGCAACUCGACCCCAUGAAGGUGGAGUCGCUAGUAAUCGCGGAUCAGCAACGCCGCGGUGAAUACGUUCCCGGGCCUUGUACACACCGCCCGUCACGUCAUGAAAGUCGGCAACACCCGAAACUUGUGGCCUAACCCUUCGGGGAGGAAUGAGGAUAGUUUGUUUCCCCACCUCCC
rnacentral:rRNA from 1 species